UUAAAAAUAAGUUAAAUACACAAAACUACGGGUUUGUGGAGCCCGAUAUCCUUCAGGUUUUUGAG
rnacentral:tRNA from 1 species